rnacentral:lncRNA from 1 species
AACACACCAGUUCAGAAUUCAACAUACAUAUAUUUUUUAAAACAGAUUCAAACAAACAACUAGCUCCCCUUACCUUGGGUUCUCACAGUACAACUCACACCAACGUCUCCACAGUACCUCUCACGAAAUAAGAACUCAACCAAACCCUACAAAUCACCAAAGUGGUGAUAGAAUCAACUCUUAGAGCUAGAAUGAAGAGAGGAAACGAGAGAAAUACUACUAGCUACAUGCAACCAGCAGAGUUGUAUGCCUUAAGUUCCCAAAAUAACAGAGGAAAAAGAAAAAGCGACUUAUCGAUCGGAUUGAAGAAAUUGAUCGGUCAAAAGCGGAGCUCUCUACUACACGGACGCUUGGAUACCACCUGAUCAAAAAUCAAAUGGCUCAACGGAGAGGGAUGGAAGAGAGAAGGCAGAAAAGAAAAGGUAGUAAAGCUUUGAAGGUGAUAUUGGAUUUUCUCAGGUGAUGAGAGGAUCUUUGGGGAAAAAUGUUUAUAUGACAAAAUUAUUUUCUUAAUUGAAGUGAGCCCAUCAUUUAUUGCCACUUGACCAUUUUCAAAGCUGACUUUCUCUCAGGCUUUACAAUUGGUUGUUCUUAUAGCUUGUAUUAAUAGUUUAAAAAUUGUAUUGGU